rnacentral:rRNA from 1 species
AGAGUUUGAUCCUGGCUCAGGACGAACGUUGGCGGCGUGCUUAACACAUGCAAGUCGAGCGGGGCUUAGUGGAAAGUUUACUUUUUACUUAGUCUAGCGGCGCGCGUGGAUAAUCUGCCUGUAAGACAGGGAUAACGCCGGGAAACCGGUGCUAAUACCGGAUAACCUCUUUGGACCGCAUGGUCUGAAGAGAAAAGGUGGCCUCUUUACAAUGCUACCACUUACAGAUGAAUCCGCGUCCCAUUAGCCAGUUGGUGGGGUAAUGGCCUACCAAAGCGACGAUGGGUAGCCGGCCUGAGAGGGUGACCGGCCACACUGGAACUGAGAUACGGUCCAGACUCCUACGGGAGGCAGCAGUGGGGAAUCUUCCGCAAUGGGCGAAAGCCUGACGGAGCAACGCCGCGUGAGCGAAGAAGGUUUUCGGAUUGUAAACUCCUGUCUUCUGGGACGAUGAUAAUGACGGUACAAUAAGAGGAAGCCACGGCUAACUACGUGCCAGCAGCCGCGGUAAUACGUAGGUGGCAAACGUUGUCCGGAAUUACUGGGCGUAAAGGGCGAGUAGGUGGUUUGUUAAGUCAGAAGUGAAAACUCCAGGCUCAACUUGGAGACUGCUCCUGAAACUGGCAGACUUGAGUGCAAAAGAGGGAAGUGGAAUUCCUAGUGUAGCGGUGAAAUGCGUAGAUAUUAGGAGGAACACCAGUGGCGAAGGCGACUUCCUGGUUUGUAACUGACACUGAGGCGCGAAAGCGUGGGGAUCAAACAGGAUUAGAUACCCUGGUAGUCCACGCCGUAAACGAUGAGUGCUAGGUGUCGGGGGUAUCGACCCCCUCGGUGCCACAGCUAACGCAAUAAGCACUCCGCCUGGGGAGUACGGUCGCAAGACUGAAACUCAAAGGAAUUGACGGGGGCCCGCACAAGCGGUGGAGUAUGUGGUUUAAUUCGACGCAACGCGAAGAACCUUACCAAGGCUUGACAUCCUGUGACAGCCAUAGAAAUAUGGACUUCUUAGUUUACUAAGACACAGAGACAGGUGGUGCAUGGUUGUCGUCAGCUCGUGUCGUGAGAUGUUGGGUUAAGUCCCGCAACGAGCGCAACCCCUGUUGCUAGUUACCAGCACGUAAAGGUGGGAACUCUAGCGAGACUGCCGGUGACAAACCGGAGGAAGGUGGGGAUGACGUCAAGUCAUCACGCCCCUUACGACCAGGGCUACACACGUACUACAAUGCCCGGUACAGCGAGACGCAAUGCCGCAAGGUGGAGCAAAUCUCAUAAAACCGGGCCAAGUUCAGAUCGGGGGCUGCAAUUCGCCCCCGUGAAGCUGGAAUCGCUAGUAAACGUGGAUCAUCAUGCCACGUUGAAUACGUUCUCGGGCCUUGUACACACCGCCCGUCACAACCAUGGAAGCCCGUAACACCCGAAGCCGGUGAGCUAACCGCAAGGAGGCAGCUGUCGAAGGUGGGACUGGUGACUGGGGUGAAGUCGUAACAAGGUAACC